ensembl:lncRNA
GUACUGUUCAGUUUCGGUUGUAGCUCUAAGUUUCGAUUUUUGCACAAUGACUGUUGCAGUGGGCGGAGGGAGAGUCCAGGGUAUAAUAACGGAGUGACGCGACUCAGAGUAGUCCGUUGCAGAACUGUACUUCUUUGAACCAUACAAUAAAAUGGCAAAUCCUGAUCAUGACCAGGUGGAUUUCAAGGUGACGCGAAAUUCACGUUUCAUCACUGAAAUCUCAGUCGAGGGCCGGCACCUGAGCAUAGAUGACCUGAAAUUGGAAUUUCAGAAAGAUUGUACAAUAUGGAAUAAGCUAUGUGAGCUGGGCAGUACGAAUCAGGGGUCAAAAAUCUACAGCGAGAAACCAAGGAUGCUAGAUUACUUGAGUAAAACCAUUCAAAGCUAUCCGAAGCCAGUUGAAUUCCAUGUUGCAAAUGUAGCACAUGUCACUGAGGAAAAUGCAUUACUUGAGAUAUGGAAGUCAGAGAAAUUCAGGCCAAAUAACACCGAAUUCUCAUGGUGGGAUUUGAAAAUUACUGACGAGGAAAUUAAUUCUGCAGAAAAACGCUACUUAGAGACGAAUAAAGCAACAAGCUCAUAUGAAAGCCAGGAACCGUUUCUGAAAAAGUUCACCACAUCACCACUGUUCCAAACUCACGAAUCCCGCUAUGGCAAUUAUCGCUUUACGUUUCCACUGGCCGAGCUGCUGGAACGGUACAAAGAGCAGAACUGCGGAGGAAAGGAGCCAGUACUCAGAGUGUUUAAGACCACCGCCUAUAAACAGGAGAUUGUGUACGCUGUGCUGAUUCACAGCCCCGAGUAUAACGAACAUUUUGGAGCGUUCCCAGCUCUUGAAGAUAGUAAAUUUGUUGGUUACCGUGAUGGGAAAAUUAUCUGGAAAGCACAAGCUAUUUCAGAAACUCACAGGUAUCAGUUUUUAUCAGGGGAGCUCGAAUAUCUACCGUCCCAUGUGUUCUACGUAUGGGAUCAGGUUAGUGUAGUCUUUCACCUGCCAGUACAGGCUUCAGCUCACAUUAAGGUCACAAAAAAAAGACUCAUAAAUGCCCUUGAAAUUUGUACAAUUGCCAAAAUACAUCUAACAAGGAAUGAAACUAAGGCAGAGCCGGAGGCAUUGUUGAAAUGUUUGAAAAAGGAGGUAGAAGACAUGGAGGAAGUUGUGAGUGGUUCAGAAAAAGAACUGAAAGAGGAGAGUGAGACUAAACUCAUCUGACAUCAUCGCUGUGGCAACUACACCCGUUCUCCCACUUGGGUCCUGCAAGCUGCAAUCAUGUGCCUUGACCAGCGAAUCACUAGCUGUUUUAUUUUACCGUCACAAACGGCUAGUAAAUAUAUUUAGUGUUUAUUUUAAGUUAAAACGCCAGCAGCAGUAAGACUGAUGCCAAGGUAGGUCGAGCUGCUUAGCAUUAAAAGGAGCACAAAUGUGUGACCAAUGGAAAUAAAUGCAUGUUACUUAUAAAAUAUGCAAAUGUGCAAAAACCAUAUUCAGAUGUGGAUUUAUUGAAUUCAAAAUAUUAAUUCAUCAGGAUUCAAGUAUUUCUCUCACGUAUUAAUGAAUUAUUGAAUACAAUAACUCAGCCUAUGGUAGACUUUGGUGAAAAGGUUACAAAGCUAUGGCAGUAGCAGAACACACCCAUUAGAUUAUAUUUAUUACAAGUGCACAAAGGAUAUAGUCUGUGUUUAUAAUCAGGUAUCAGUGCAGUUUGUCUACAGCUAAUGCUUGGACUCUUACAACUAUUUUUAUGUUUUACUAUUUCUUUUGCAGCUGACUUGAUUUGGUGGUAGUUUUUAUAUGAAUUAUUUUUUUCUAUUAUUUUAACACUGAAUUCCUGGACAUUGUGAGAUCUAUAACACUAUACAAUUUAUUGAAACAAUUCUAUGUAAUUGUAUAAUCAUUCCUAGUUUGUGUCAAUUUUGCAUUAAGAUGUUUCAUGUUAUACUUUAAUUAUAACUGGACUGGGUGAUAUUUUAAAUAUUUGUAUAAUUCAAGUAUGGAAUAAUAAGGUAUAUUGUGUAAAAGCAAAUAUUUCUAUGUAAAAUGAAUCGAGCUUACCGCAUACAAACAAUAAACUCUGACC